rnacentral:rRNA from 1 species
GAGUUUGAUCCUGGCUCAGAACGAACGCUGGCGGCGUGCCUAACACAUGCAAGUCGAGCGCGAAAGGGGUAACCCGAGUAGAGCGGCGCACGGGUGCGUAACACGUGGGUAAUCUGCCCCGGAGACCCGGAUAACCACCCGAAAGGGUGGCUAAUACGGGAUGAGCCCCCGACGUCUUCGGACGUCGAGGGAAAAGGAUGGCCUCUGUUUACAAGCUAUCGCUCCAGGAUGAGCCCGCGGCCCAUCAGCUCGUUGGCGGGGUAACGGCCCACCAAGGCAACGACGGGUAGCUGGUCUGAGAGGACGAUCAGCCACACUGGAACUGAGACACGGUCCAGACUCCUACGGGAGGCAGCAGUGGGGAAUUUUGCGCAAUGGGCGAAAGCCUGACGCAGCAACGCCGCGUGUGUGAUGAAGGUCUUCGGAUUGUAAAGCACUUUCGACCGGGACGAAAAAGCGGGUGCUAAUCAGCCUGCCUUGACGGUACCGGGAGAAGAAGCACCGGCUAACUCUGUGCCAGCAGCCGCGGUAA